GACAACCCCAACAUGUUCAAGUAUGUGGCAUAGAAAACCGAAGUCGGAGACCUAUGAGUCUUUUGUUGGUUCUACUUCCCACAAGAUCAGUAGGAUUGUUAGGUUCCGACAGAGACUUGAGCCAAUCAGAGAGGCUUGUGAACCCGUACCUGGUUUGUUGCGUCAUACAGCAGGGCAAUCACAAGCAGUUGAAAUACGUGGCGUGGAAAACCUGUAUUGGAGAACUACGAGCCUUAAAUUGGUUUCAAUUCAUCCUAGAUUUGUGGAAUUGUUCACUUUUCGAGAGAUAUAAGCCAAUCGUAGAGGCUUGCGAGCUUGUACCAGGUUUGUUACGUCAUACAGUAGGAGUUUAUAAAUUUGCGUUGCCAUUGUCAUUUGAUAUAUGUAGACACUUGUACUUAUUACCUGCCACUUGCACGACAAGUGGUAGUUAGUGGAGACUAGUGGGAAGGACAUAAAUGAAAGCUAUGA
rnacentral:lncRNA from 1 species